rnacentral:lncRNA from 1 species
AUGAUAGUCACCUUUAAACGCACGCUUACGUCUAUUGGUUUAUGAAUAUGAGGCAAAUAUUUAUGCAGAUUUGUUAUGGUAGCAAUGCAAGGCAUUACAGAUCAUUUGCAAGAGUGUUGUAGUGUGAGUUCAUAGUUAAGCAGUGAGUGGUGUUUGUUAAGGGAAUGUGCUUCAGCUGGGUGUUUGGAUGGCAGGAGUUUUUCUUCUAAGGCUUAGCCAUUAACUCCAUUGUAAAAUACUGCAGAGUUGUAUCUCAGCCUUUUUAAGUGAUUGCUUGACUCCAGUGACUGUUCAGUAUGGCAACUAUAGUCAAAAUAUGUCUAUUUGAAACAGAUGUAGUCAUUAGCAGGCCUUCUAAACUGUGGCUUCCAGCUUCUUCUAAGUCAAACUGUCUCCUAAGCAGGUUAGGAGAUAGAUGAUUAUCACUCCUUCCUCAUGCAUCAAAUGUAGCCAUGUUGCUGCAGUGGGAAGGGGCUAGAGCCAAAGAAAUAGGGCUCACUGCUUAGUUAACAGCUAGGUUUGCUGAUGCUCAUGCUCCCUGUGUUGUCUCAUUGAUCCUAUAAAAAAUAAGUUUUAGUACUCACUUAUCAACAGGCAUUCUAAGGAAUGUUACUCCCCAGUAUUAGCUUUACCUUUUUGUUUGUUAGGUGUUUUUUUUUUUGAUUGCAUUGUGUUGCAAUGCUACGAAAUGCUGGUGGGAAGGAAGAUCCUCUGGUUUGCUAAGAUCCCCGAGAAGCAGCAUGUCAGCACCUAGGGUGGAUUUAACCACAGUGCAGUGAGCAGGAGUUGGCUACAAUGAUCUGCUAUGAGAGAGAGAGAGAAAUAGCAGAGCCUGAGCAAGGCCUUGUCAGUAAAAGAAAAGAAGCAAGAUUGUUUUCCAGACUGCCUCAUCCUGACCUUAAGAUAAGGAUUUCUGACUGACCCUGAGCCAUGAAGCAUUAAAAACGCAAGAAAUGAUCCACUGGGCUCUCACUUCUUGACCUCCCUGAUAGCAGUUCCUUCACUUCUGCCACUUGCUGAUGGACCAGAAGAAUGUGAACCUGCCUGCCUGGUUUCAGUAGUCUUUUCCUCAUUUGUUAAGGUGGGGAAAAUCUUGGCUAUGUUUGAGAAGGUAGAUGCAUCUCAGGUGUGCUACAAAUGGCCUCUGGUGACAUUAAUUCAGAAUAAGGUAUGUCUGUCUUUACUGUUGGCUUAUGUUAACAAAUGCAUUAUAAUGUUGUGCCCUCUAGUAUCUGAGCUGGCAUUUAGUGGAAUAUUAAUCUAAUCAAUAUAAUAAGAAAAUGACUUUUUU